AACCAUAGAAACCUGCGGAGUACCUGCGGAAGGAUCAUUACAAAAGUUAUACACUUGGGGAAAGGACUCGUCUUUCGGGACUUGAGGCCUGACUCCAUUUGUAACACAACUUUCAACCACUUGUGAACAUGUAAUAAUUAUCUCACCAAUUGACUGUUAACGAAGUCUGAUUCAAAUUGUAUUGGUGUUAAUAGACACUAGUAAAAUAUGAAACAACUUUCAGCAACGGAUCUCAGAUCG
rnacentral:misc_RNA from 1 species